rnacentral:lncRNA from 1 species
GGGGCGGGACAGAAGGAGGGAGUGGCUGGCCUUGCUGCUGGGCGGGAGCAGAGAUGUGGCUAUACUUCACAGCAUACACAGUGUUUUGUUCAAAUUUCAGCCCCUGUUAAGAAAAUGAGGGAAGUUGGACUCAUCUACUCAUUUUUUUUUUUUUUGAGUGCCUGUCUGCGCACGACGCGCAUGCAGUGCCUACAGCGGCCAGAUGGGGGCGUCGGGUCCCCUGAAGCUGGAGUCACAGAAGGCUGUGAACACUGGGGGUGUGUGUGAGGGCUGUGUAUGUGGAUACAGGUCUUCAGUGUCCCGACACCUGGGGCUUCCUGCCUGGUCACAGGAACCUGUGUUGUCCACAGUUUGGGACCAUCUGGAGUCCGGUGCUCCACUGUACAAAUUCAAAAACUCCAGCAGAGCCCAGAGAGGAAGGAUUUGUCUAAAUCACAGAAACCCAGAGAGGUGGGAAGAAAGCCACCCUUUAGAAGUAUCCAACCACUGGGCGUGGUGGCGCACGCCUUUAAUCCCAGCACUUGGGAGGCAGAGGCAGGUGAAUUUCUGAGUUCGAGGCCAGCCUGAUCUACAGAGUGAGUUCCAGAGAAAUCCUGUCUCGAAAAAACUAUGCUUCCGUCCUAUGGCCAAGGCCUCUCUGUCAAGCCCUGAGACUCCCAGCAUCUGUCUGCCUGUGUUCCGUGGGGCAGGACCAGCCCCUCAGGAAUCAACUUGAUCCAUCUACAGACUCAGGUUGAGCUCAGGCACUUACUGAAAGGAUAUCAUCCUCAGCCACUCCACCCUCACACAGUCAGCCAGCAACCCUCAGCCCUUCUGGGAGCCCCACCCCGACCUCCAACCGAUCGCCUUCUCCCACCCUCCAUAUUUUGCACUUGGUGUUCUAGCAGAAAGCCUUUUCCCUUUGGACUGAAAAACUCAUCCAUCAGUGCUCCAGCUCCCGAGGCCUCCUUCUCUGAGAAGCUCCCCUCGAGAAUCCUGUCUAUGCCG